rnacentral:rRNA from 1 species
GACGAACGCUGGCGGCGUGCUUAACACAUGCAAGUCGAACGGUGAAGCGCCUUCCUUUUUGGUGGGUGUGGAUGAGUGGCGAACGGGUGAGUAACACGUGAGUAACCUGCCCCCUUCUUCUGGAUAACCGCAUGAAAGUGUGGCUAAUACGGGAUAUUCUGGGUCUGUCGCAUGAUGGGUCUGGGAAAGAUAUUGUUUCGGUGGGGGAUGGGCUCGCGGCCUAUCAGCUUGUUGGUGGGGUGAUGGCCUACCAAGGCGGUGACGGGUAGCCGGCCUGAGAGGGUGGACGGUCACACUGGGACUGAGACACGGCCCAGACUCAUACGGGAGGCAGCAGUGGGGAAUAUUGCACAAUGGGCGCAAGCCUGAUGCAGCGACGCCGCGUGAGGGAUGGAGUCCUUCGGGUUGUGAACCUCUUUCGCCAGUGAAGCAGGCCUGCCUCGUUUGUGGGUGGGUUGACGGUAGCUGGAUAAGGAGCGCCGGCUAACUACGUG